AUGGCGGAGGAACCAUCCGCCAAGCGUCAUCAUGGUGAGACGUCCGACAAGAGUAGGCUCAAAGGGGUUGAGCUCCAUGGCAAGGAGACACUGGAGAUCGUCUGCACCAGCGAACCAAACAAGGCUGACGAGAUGAUGAGUAGGCGCAGGAUGAAGGGCGACGGCUUGUAUCCGAGCUUCAUCGGAGUUGAUGUGGACUACACCAGCAAAGAUGAACCUCCCCAGAUGGCAGCAGUCCUGCAGUUGUGCGUCGAGGAACUCUGCUUGGUGUACCACAUCGCAGCAACCACAAAAUGGCCCAAGCGCCUCAAACAGUUCCUGCGGGAGGAGAAAUUGUACACAUUUGUCGGUUUCAGCAUUGAAGGUGACAACAAGAUGCUGAACAAGUCUAGUUUGGAGAUCAACCCUAACAACUUCAUUGAUAUGCAGCGCAAGUGGAAAGUUCCAACCACAAACAAAUUCUAUGACUCCUUGGUCGAUGUUGCAGCCAGCGUCAUCCACCCGUUCUACAAAGGCAUGAAGUAG
rnacentral:rRNA from 1 species